UAGGGAAUAUUGGACAAUGGGGGCAACCCUGAUCCAGCCAUGCCGCGUGAGUGAUGAAGGCCUUCGGGUUGUAAAACUCUUUCAGGUGUGACGAUGAUGACGGUAACACCAGAAGAAGCUCCGGCUAACUUCGUGCCAGCAGCCGCGGUAAUACGAAGGGAGCGAGCGUUGUUCGGAAUCACUGGGCUUAAAGCGUACGUAGGUGGUUAUAUAAGUAAGAAGUGAAAGCCCCGGGCUUAACCUGGGAAUUGCUUUUUAGACUGUAUAGCUGGAGUCCCGGAGAGGUUAGGAGAAUUCCGAGUGUAGAGGUGAAAUUCGCAGAUAUUCGGAGGAAUACCAGUGGCGAAGGCGCCUAACUGGACGGGUACUGACACUGAAGUACGAAAGCGUGGGUAGCAAACAGGAUUAGAUACCCCCGUAGUCC
rnacentral:rRNA from 1 species